AGUGAACGCUGGCGGUAGGCCUAACACAUGCAAGUCGAACGGCAGCACAGUAAGAGCUUGCUCUUACGGGUGGCGAGUGGCGGACGGGUGAGGAAUACAUCGGAAUCUACUUUUUCGUGGGGGAUAACGUAGGGAAACUUACGCUAAUACCGCAUACGACCUACGGGUGAAAGCAGGGGAUCUUCGGACCUUGCGCGAUUGAAUGAGCCGAUGUCGGAUUAGCUAGUUGGCGGGGUAAAGGCCCGCCAAGGCGGCGAUCCGUAGCUGGUCUGAGAGGAUGAUCAGCCACACGGGAAGUGGGACACGCUCCUGACUCCUACGGGAGGCAGCAGUGGGGAAUAUUGGGCAAUGGGCGCAAGCCUGAUCCAGCCAUACCGCGUGGGUGGAGAAGGCCUUCGGGUUGGAAAGCCCUUUUGUUGGGAAAGAAAAGCAGCAGGUUAAUACGCCGCUGUUCUGACGGUACCCAAAGAAUAAGCACCGGCUAACUUCGUG
rnacentral:rRNA from 1 species